rnacentral:rRNA from 1 species
GAGUGAACGCUGGCGGUAGGCCUAACCCAUGCAAGUCGAGCGGCAGCACAGUAAGAGCUUGCUCUUACGGGUGGCGAGUGGCGGACGGGUGAGGAAUACAUCGGAAUCUACUUUUUCGUGGGGGAUAACGUAGGGAAACUUACGCUAAUACCGCAUACGACCUACGGGUGAAAGCAGGGGAUCUUCGGACCUUGCGCGAUUGAAUGAGCCGAUGUCGGAUUAGCUAGUUGGCGGGGUAAAGGCCCACCAAGGCGACGAUCCGUAGCUGGUCUGAGAGGAUGAUCAGCCACACUGGAACUGAGACACGGUCCAGACUCCUACGGGAGGCAGCAGUGGGGAAUAUUGGACAAUGGGCGCAAGCCUGAUCCAGCCAUACCGCGUGGGUGAAGAAGGCCUUCGGGUUGUAAAGCCCUUUUGUUGGGAAAGAAAAGCAGCAGGUUAAUACCCCGCUGUUCUGACGGUACCCAAAGAAUAAGCACCGGCUAACUUCGUG